rnacentral:rRNA from 1 species
CCUACGGGAGGCAGCAGUGGGGGAUAUUGCACAAUGGGGGAAACCCUGAUGCAGCGACGCCGCGUGUGGGAAGACGGUCCUCUGGAUUGUAAACCACUGUCCCCAGGGACGAAAAUGACGGUACCUUGGGAGGAAGCUCCGACUCACUACGUGCCAGCAGCAGCGUUAAGACGUAGGGAGCGAGCGUUGUCCGGAAUUACUGGUUUUAGAGGGAGCGUAGGCGGGGAUGAAAGUUGGGUGUCAAAACUACCGGCUCAACUGGUAGUCGCACUCAAAACUGCAGCGCUUGAGUUAAGUAGAGGCAGGCGGAAUUCCUAGUGUAGCGGUGAAAUGCGUAGAUAUUAGGAGGAACACCAGUGGCGAAGGCGGCCUGCUGGGCUUUUACUGACGCUGAGGCUCGAAAGUGUGGGGAGCAAACAGGAUUAGAUACCCCGGUAGUC